rnacentral:lncRNA from 1 species
AUAAUAAAAUAAAAUAAAAUAAUUGUCGAAUUGCACAGACCCCCCGUCCAUGUCGUAGUCCUCAUCUGCCAUUGCGUCUGUGUGGGUUUCGCGACUUGUUUGUGGAAACGAAGAAUGGAAAGAGAGAUAUACAGCGUCCGUAUAUAUUUGUAAGAUAUUCAAAUGGGCUGGGCCUUGCGAUUAAUCAGAAGUUAUUAUUUUGGAAAAAUUACCCAAAAGCCUAUAUCUUAAAUAUACUAUUAAAAAAAGGAUAAAUUUUAAAGUCAUAAAUUAGGUGAUAAUUAAAAUUUAUUAAAU